GUACUACUCUCAGAGUUUGAUCCUGGCUCAGGACGAACGCUGGCGGCGUGCCUAACACAUGCAAGUCGAACGGGGUGAUUUCCUUCGGGAGAUCACUUAGUGGCGAACGGGUGAGUAACGCGUGAGAAACCUGCCUUUCAGUGGGGGACAACAGUUGGAAACGACUGCUAAUACCGCAUAACGUAUCGAGAGGGCAUCCUCUUGAUACCAAAGCUUUAUGUGCUGAAAGAUGGUCUCGCGUCUGAUUAGCUAGAUGGCGGGGUAACGGCCCACCAUGGCGACGAUCAGUAGCCGGUCUGAGAGGAUGAACGGCCACAUUGGGACUGAGAUACGGCCCAG
rnacentral:rRNA from 1 species